rnacentral:lncRNA from 1 species
GACCAGUGCUCAGAAUGACAAGCACGGUCUCCUCAGCCGACCAGACAAGCUUCCACAUACGCAGGAAGGAUUCCAGGGCUGAAAGUGCAGCUUUUUUCAAUUCUACAUUUGUGUGGGCACACCACUUUAACAAGACUUCAAAUAGAGACACGUAGUUGUCCAGAAGGCAGGUGCUAAACUGAGAUGCAUGCAGGGCAAAUAGGCGCAAGCCAGCUGCAAAUGCAAAUGCCAUUAUAUUUAAAAUCAGACGACAUAACACAGAACAGAAAACCAACAAACCUGCAGGGAUAUGUCAAAGUCAACACUGUGCUCAGGAAGAUCUAGUACCAUUACACUACAGUAACCCAGGGAUUCCUGUCAGAGCUCUAACACUACCAAUUAACAGGCCCAUAACUUGGCUGACAAAUCCCAAAACAA